UAAGAUGGGAUUGAGGUAGCAAGUGGCCAAGUGGGGUUGAGAGCAUUAAAUGAACAUUUACUGGGCAUUAAUUUAACUUUAGCUUAUGGAACAAGUAUUAGCUUUUCAACAAAAUAAAUUUCUCUCUCCUCUCUCCCCCGCAAUUUUCGUCCCCCUCUCUUCUCUCUCCCUCUUUCUCUUUUCUUUCUCUAUCCUCCAUUGAUGAUACCUCCAAGCUCCAAAAAUCAUUUUUAUACCAUGGAUCUCCACAACAAUCAAUCCUUAAACAUCCACAACUUAGAAUCAAGAGCAAGAAUAGAAGAUGUUUCAAGAUUGAAGUCAAGAGAGCUUCUACCAUUUUAGUGAAAUCAUUGACCCAUGGAUUAUCUUCGAUGUUAUGAUAUCAGAAGAUAUGAGCAGAGGACGGAAGUGAGUUCGCCUCGAGUGCUACGAGAGUAAGCUAAGAUCUUCAGAUGGGCAUUACUUUUACUAUACGUAUAUAGAGAUCUCUUGUGUGUCGUAGGCCUCUUAUACGAUUAUAUGCAUGAUAUGAUUUAACUGUUAAUUUCAGUUUUAUGAAAAGUUCAAAUGAUAAAUGGCUCUUAUGAAAUGAAAAUGAAAAUGAAAUGUCUUAUGAAAUGAUAUGAAAUGUUUAUGAAAUGACUGUCUGCCAAAAAUAUUUAUGUUUUACGUAUGUAUCCUAUCUGUGUUGGUUCGCCAACUUUAAAGGAAAUCCAAUUGGGACCCUAUGCUAGACGAAGGUAUGCUAGUACGGGUUAACGUGUACACUCAUGGAGACCGCGAGUCGCUUGUGACCGGUCCUGGCAUCCGUGGAAGGAGGCCUUCUUCGCGGCGCGUGAUAGAAAGGACAGAUAUGGAUCAUAUGAAAGAAAAAUGAUCGGCCGAUCGACUUUAUGAAAAUGAAAGAAAUAUUUUAGUAAGCACAGGUCUUUCAAGAAAACCCUUGUGUGUUACUGUUUGGCAGUACAAUGAAUAUAUGUGUAUGUUAUGCAUGAAUGUAUUUUCGGCAUGUGCCCACUGAGUAUUUUUAUACUCAACCCUGCAUGUAUUUCUAAAUGUGCAGGUUGAGCAGCUGAUGGAAUGGAAUAAUGUUGAGCGGGUAUUCCUUUGUCAUUUCUAGAAAUAUAACCUUAAGUAUACAUCUUCAUAUGUAUAUCUCACACGUUUUUCGCUGCGAAACACUUUGAUUAUGGGAACUCUAUGUUAUGAAGUCAAUGUAUUCAUUUUUUAGUAAUCCAUCUCGAUUAGGUCAUCCUUAUGUGAAUGUUUUGUAAGUAUUUGAAUGAUCAAAUAUGAUCCUAGUACUUCCUUUUAAUGUCAUAUUUUUUCAAAAUA